GCAGACACAUUCCAGCCAAUCAGCAGCAGACCCUCCCUCCCAGACCCUCCCACCUCCUGGACAGCAUCCAUUUUAGAUUCAUUGUGAAGCUGAAUUCUUAGUGAGCUGUCCAGGAGGUGGGAGGGUCUGGGAGGGAGGGUCUGUUGCUGAUUGGCUGGAAUAUGUCUG
rnacentral:miRNA from 1 species